GUAUGAUAUGCAAAGAGUAAAGGUUACCCCUCCACUAGAUAAGGAUGGAAGGGGGUCCUAGUGGCUUUACCACACUCAAAUGGUUAAGACCUUUACCACCUACUUACUCGCAUCUGACUAUGUUUUUUU